AAAAGAGACAAAAUUAGUUAUACAGCAGUGCCACUGCCCACCUGUCCCGGCCUUUUGUCCUCUCCAAGUUCCACCAUCCCGUCGGGCCUAACGUACGAGCGAAACUGCAUGGAUUCCCACCUCCCAAUCCAUGCGUCCCGAGGCCCAAGCGUGCCGCCUCCGUAGCCGCCCCAAUACAGAACGAGUGCGACCCAAACUGCAUGGGCUGCAGGCCCAUCCUCACUAAACCUAAACGAAAAAUCUGAAUGAAC